UCAAAACAAAUCAAAACAAUUUCUUAAAAUACUGCAUAAGCAUUCAUUCUGAUUAAUUAAGUGGUUAAAUAAUGAAUGCGUGUAAGUGAACAAUGAUAUCAUGACCAUUUCGCAACGGAUAUUUGGUUGAACCUUGUACACAAGGAAGUUUACAUAGGUACUCUGGUGCAUAUUUUUGGUUCAUGUUAUAAAAUAUCUGUAAUUUUCUUUUAAUCUU
rnacentral:lncRNA from 1 species